UAUUCCCUGCUGGCUUGGACCUUUGCUGGUUUCCCUCGGUUAUAUUUCUAAAAAAACUAUCACCGGGUGAACAUUGGUGCAGGUCCAAUCCGCCUAC
rfam:Caenorhabditis remanei strain PB4641 contig93.6, whole genome shotgun sequence.